UGCGUCCUACGGGGGGCAGCAGUGAGGAAUAUUGGUCAAUGGGCGAGAGCCUGAACCAGCCAAGUCGCGUGAGGGAAGACGGUCCUAUGGAUUGUAAACCUCUUUUGUCGGGGAGCAAAGCGAGUCACGUGUGACUCAUUGAGAGUACCCGAAGAAAAAGCAUCGGCUAACUCCGUGCCAGCAGCCGCGGUAAUACGGAGGAUGCGAGCGUUAUCCGGAUUUACUGGGUUUAAAGGGUGCGCAGGCGGAGGUGCAAGUCAGCGGUCAAAUUGCGGGGCUCAACCCCGUACUGCCGUUGAAACUGC
rnacentral:rRNA from 1 species